rnacentral:rRNA from 1 species
GACGAACGCUGGCGGCGUGCCUAAUACAUGCAAGUAGAACGCUGAAGGAGGAGCUUGCUUCUCUGGAUGAGUUGCGAACGGGUGAGUAACGCGUAGGUAACCUGCCUGGUAGCGGGGGAUAACUAUUGGAAACGAUAGCUAAUACCGCAUAAUGGUAGAUGUUGCAUGACAUUUGCUUAAAAGGUGCAAUUGCAUCACUACCAGAUGGACCUGCGUUGUAUUAGCUAGUUGGUGGGGUAACGGCUCACCAAGGCGACGAUACAUAGCCGACCUGAGAGGGUGAUCGGCCACACUGGGACUGAGACACGGCCCAGACUCCUACGGGAGGCAGCAGUAGGGAAUCUUCGGCAAUGGACGGAAGUCUGACCGAGCAACGCCGCGUGAGUGAAGAAGGUUUUCGGAUCGUAAAGCUCUGUUGUAAGAGAAGAACGAGUGUGAGAGUGGAAAGUUCACACUGUGACGGUAUCUUACCAGAAAGGGACGGCUAACUACGUGCCAGCAGCCGCGGUAAUACGUAGGUCCCGAGCGUUGUCCGGAUUUAUUGGGCGUAAAGCGAGCGCAGGCGGUUAGAUAAGUCUGAAGUUAAAGGCUGUGGCUUAACCAUAGUACGCUUUGGAAACUGUUUAACUUGAGUGCAAGAGGGGAGAGUGGAAUUCCAUGUGUAGCGGUGAAAUGCGUAGAUAUAUGGAGGAACACCGGUGGCGAAAGCGGCUCUCUGGCUUGUAACUGACGCUGAGGCUCGAAAGCGUGGGGAGCAAACAGG